AACGAACGCUGGCGGCAUGCCUAACACAUGCAAGUCGAACGAGACCUUCGGGUCUAGUGGCGCACGGGUGCGUAACGCGUGGGAACCUGCCCUUAGGUUCGGAAUAACUCCCCGAAAGGGGUGCUAAUACCGGAUAAUGUCUUCGGACCAAAGAUUUAUCGCCUUUGGAUGGGCCCGCGUUGGAUUAGCUAGUUGGUAGGGUAAAAGCCUACCAAGGCGACGAUCCAUAGCUGGUCUGAGAGGAUGAUCAGCCACACUGGGACUGAGACACGGCCCAGACUCCUACGGGAGGCAGCAGUGGGGAAUAUUGGACAAUGGGCGAAAGCCUGAUCCGGCAAGGCCGCGGGAGUGAUGAAGGCAUUAGGGUGGUAAAGCUCUUUUACCCGGGAUGAUAAUGACAGUACCGGGAGAAUAAGCGCCGGAGAACUCCGA
rnacentral:rRNA from 1 species